CGUGGAGUAGAGAAGUUGGUCAUCUCGCUAGGCUCAUAACCUAGAAAUCGUCAUAAACGGUUCGAAUCCUACCUCCGCAA
rnacentral:tRNA from 2 species